rnacentral:lncRNA from 1 species
GAACAAUCCUCAGAAACUAGUUUAAGUGUCUCCUCAGUUUACAGAGCCUACCAAAAGCAGGUUGGAGUGGGUUGAUAUACAAUCAUGCAUAUUCAUACAAUAUUUUUUAGCAUCUGUAGCAUCUGGAAAGAUUUCUCUGUUGCAUGUGAGGUGAAAGGACAGAGCAUGUUUAAGUCCGAGCUUUAAAGCAGUUGUGUUAAUUGUUAACUUUUGCUGAGUCUGUACAUUUAGAAAGGUAACAAUCGCAGCAUGUUAAGAUCAUAACUGUUAGAUUAAUGCUUGGAGGGGGGAACUGUGCUGAUGUGAAGCAUUAAGGGCUGGAUGAGUUCAGCCAGAUAUGCUGCCUCCAGUGUAUUUGUGUAAUGCUAUUUACUAGAUUUCAAAUGGACUGCUGAGAAAGACGAAAUAGAAUCUCAUGUAUUAUCUCUGUCUUGAAAAAAAAAAAAAGAUAAUGAAAUUGUUCUCUUGUUGGCAUAUAUUUUAUUAACCUUUGUGGAAUCAACUUAAAGAACAGAUACCCCUAUAGAGUUGAAACCUUUUGCUAAAGUGGAGUGUUAGUAAAUGCAUUCGUGAGUUCUAGGUGCAGUAGAAGAGGUAGGUACCUUUUUUUUUUUUUCAAACCAAAGAAUAAUAUGGCAUAUUCUAGGGCUACCUAGAGAGAAAAAAAUGCAAGGUAAAAAUGCAACUAAAUUUCUUUCUUUUCUUUACAGAGCCUGGAGAAAGUUCUUCUGGAAUUCAGUCAUAAGGAAUUAUUUGAUUUCUAUAACAAGAGACCAUACAAGCACAGCUGGAUUCCCUUACAUGAUGUUCUUGAAGACUGGUUUCUCUGUCACACUCCUGCCACCUCAUUAUUUUGCAUUGAAGAUAAACUGCCAGGUUGUGUUUUCUGAAGGAUUCACUAGCUUUCUUCUUGUAAAUUAUACAGCUUACUGCUUUGUAGACAAAUAACCGCCAAGGAAGAUCACUGUUCUGAGUGCUCAGGUUCCAAUAUGCAUUCUCUUGUUCUGAGAGCCAACAGCAAGUAAUGGUUAAGAACACUUCUGCGUUAAAGAAAAUAGCUGUGAAUAUCAUGUGGUUAUUACUGUCCUGUUUUUGUUUUAUUGCCUGACCCGUUUAUUUUUUACAUACUUGAUGAUACUUGUAGGUAUCAAGGAGGGUCCAUGGAUACAAAGUAUACUGUAUAUUUUAAAACAGGGAACUUUAGUGAUUACAUUGAUAAAAAUAAGUAGCCACAUGCAAUUAAGUACAUUAUGAUUUUUUUUCUUUAAUACAGUGAGUAUAUUUUCUUGGGAAAUAAUACAGGGAGGACAUUUUAAAUAGAACUAGUACUAGCAUAUCAUUCAGUUCCAGUGUGAGCAUCUCUGUGCACUUUAGAUUUUUCUCUACAUUUAAUGAUUUAGUAACAGUUUGGGGGUUUGUGUGCUUUUCUUUGUACUGCAAAUUAAUAAUGAUUAAUUAUUAAUUUCAUAGCAUGGGAGACAGAUCCACAUAAUGAGUAAAAAAUAAUUGUAAUGAGUGCCAAACAAAUAUCCUUAAAAUUCUAAAACAUACUUUUUACAUUCUCUUUCUAUGAAUAUGUUAAUUAAUUUCACUCAAUAAGAUUUUUUGUCUCAGAAUUAUUUGAACUGAAGUGCACAGCAUUUUAUUCUGUGGAUGUAUAUAAAUAUGAGUAUGGUUGCCUACAGAAAAUAAUAUCACUUGAAUUUUUAUGAAUGAAAUGUCUGUACUACAUUUUUUUUCUAGAGAGAAAGACAGACAUGGUGGGAGAGGACAGGAGAGAUAGGAGGGGAAGGGAGAGAGAAAAUGAGAGAGAGAGAAUAACAGAGAUACAAAUAUGACUUCACAUGAAAGAAUUGGAUUUCAGACAUACCCUAUAGUUAAACGGAGUCACUGAAUUUAAGUCACAUUUCUUAUAUGAGGUUUCUGAGUAAUAGGAAUGUUAAAUGACUCCCAGAUAUAUGUUCAGUAUAUGGAAUGUAUGCACUUACUUAUUUUAUAUGUGCUUAUAUAUUGUUGUUUAGAAGGCUUAGGAAUUUGGAUUAUUUCAGAAAGUAAAUAUUACAGUGGCUGUCCAUAGUUGGUAGACUUGAAAAGUUUUUAAACUCAAACUUCCACUGAUAGGAUAUCUAGAAGACAUGUUUAGAAUGGGAUUUGUUUCGAUAUGUAGCUGUGUGGUCCGUCUUAAAUUUUUAUAUUCUGUUCUGCUGGUCCCCAGAGGUAACCACAUGACCACUAUAAACGUUUUGGUAAAUACUCUUUCAGCUGAUUUCUUAUAUACAAAUAAACAUGCCUCAUUUCAAGUUGAAUUUAUUAGG